rfam:Medicago truncatula strain A17 unplaced genomic scaffold scaffold0490, whole genome shotgun sequence.
UAGCAGUGUGACAUGCCCGUUUGGUGAUAAACUCUGAUUUAUUAUUUAGUAUUUAAUUGUUUGGGAUAACGGGGUGUUACAAUUGGU